GCUAGCGGCAGGCCUAAUACAUGCAAGUCGAGGGGUAUAUGAGUGCUUGCACUUAUAGAGACCGGCGAACGGGUGCGUAACACGUAUGCAACCUACCUUCAACAGAGGAAUAGCCCGAAGAAAUUCGGAUUAAUGCCUCAUAACAUUGCGACAUGGCAUCAUGAUGCAAUUAAAGCUCCGGCGGUUGAAGAUGGGCAUGCGGUCCAUUAGUUAGUUGGUGAGGUAACGGCUCACCAAGGCCACGAUGGAUAGGGGGUCUGAGAGGAUGAUCCCCCACACUGGUACUGAGACACGGACCAGACUCCUACGGGAGGCAGCAGUAGGGAAUAUUGGACAAUGGGCGAAAGCCUGAUCCAGCCAUGCCGCGUGCAGGAUGACUGCCCUAUGGGUUGUAAACUGCUUUUAUAUGGAAAGAAACACUCCCACGUGUGGGAGCUUGACGGUACCAUAUGAAUAGGGAUCGGCUAACUCCGUGCCAGCAGCCCGCGGUAAUACGGAGGAUCCAAGCGUUGUCCGGAUUUAUUGGGUUUAAAGGGUGCGUAGGCGGAUUAAUAAGUGAGUGGUGAAAGCCUGUA
rnacentral:rRNA from 1 species